rnacentral:tRNA from 1 species
GGGGAUAUAGCUCAGUUGAUAGAGUGCUUGCCUCGCAUGCAUGCACAAAGCCCUGGGUUCAAACCCCAGCACCA